UUUAUCUUCUAGAAUUACAAAGUAUGAACUCGAGAAGCAUUUUGCUAGAGAAGGAGAGGUGACUGAUGUCCAUCUUGUAGUGGACCCUUGGACAAGGGAAUCCCGUGGCUUUGCUUUUGUGACAAUGGCUAAUGUUAAGGAAGCAAACCGCUGCCUGAAAUAUCUCGAUGGAUCUGUGUUGGAAGGUCGUGUCAUAACUGUC
rnacentral:misc_RNA from 1 species